UACGUAGGGCGCAAGCGUUGUCCGGAAUUAUUGGGCGUAAAGAGCUCGUAGGCGGCCUGUCGCGUCUGCUGUGAAAUCCCGGGGCUUAACCCCGGGCGUGCAGUGGAUACGGGCUGGCUGGAGGCAGGCAGGGGAGAACGGAAUUCCCGGUGUAGCGGUGAAAUGCGCAGAUAUCAGGAGGAACACCGGUGGCGAAGGCGGUUCUCUGGGCAUUACCUGACGCUGAGGAGCGAAAGUGUGGGGAGCGAACAGG
rnacentral:rRNA from 1 species